UCGGGGAAUAUUGGACAAUGGAGGGAACUCUGAUCCAGUGACGCCGCGUGAAGGAAGAAGGUCCUCGGAUUGUAAACUUAUUUUGUCAGGGAAAAAUAAAAUGAUGGUACCUGAAGAAAAAGCACCGGCCAACUACGUGCCAGCAGCCGCGGUAAUACGUAGGGUGCAAGCGUUAUCCGGAUUUACUGGGUGUAAAGGGCGAGUAGACGGAAUAGCAAGUCAGAUGUGGAAUUUCAGUGCUCAACAUUGAAACUGCAUCUGAAACUGUUAAUCUAGAGUGCAGGAGAGGAAAACGGAAUUCCUAGUGUAGCGGUGAAAUGCGUAGAUAUUAGGAGGAACACCAGUGGCGAAGGCGGUUUUCUGGACUGUAACUGACGUUGAGGAGCGAAAGUGUGGGGAGCAAACAGGAUUAGAUACCCUGGUAGU
rnacentral:rRNA from 1 species